rnacentral:pre_miRNA from 1 species
AUAGUAUAAAGACCGUCGGUCUACCGAGCAAUAUUUAACCAGUUCGGUAGAUGACCUUCCCUUUAUCGU